rnacentral:lncRNA from 1 species
CGUUUCCAAAUCAAAACAAUAAAAUAUUAUUUUCUGGCUCACAGGGGCAUUUUCGUCAUUUUUCUUCGAUAAUUUCGAAACUCGCCAAAAAUAUGGUGUAAAGCUAAAUAUGUUCAUACAUAUUUUAGAUCAGAUAACUAUAGUAUAAAAUUACUUUUACAAUGACACGUGAGCCCCCAACUAACCAAUAAGAUGCGAGUCUGUGAACCUAUAAUUUUGACAAUGUAAGGCUAACUGAAUUCCUUGAUGCAAUCGGCUAUCUACCGACUAUCCCGAACCUGAAAUGUGGGGAAUUGAGGGUGGUGAGAUUAUAAAAUCCCAGUGAAUAAACAAACACCAUCUAAAUAAUCUAAAGGCGAGUAAAUGGAGACAAUUAAAAAUAAUUAACUUCAGCAAAUUUUUCACAUCACAAAUAUUCAUUUCAACCAAAUAAUCAAUAUGGCUCGUGAAUUACUCAAAACUUGGCUCAUGUCAAAUCUUGUAUUCGGGGACACCUGGACCAAGGGUAUCCAACCGAGUUCGCCAAGGCUGUUAAAAAUUCAUAUUUCGCAUAAAUCAUAUUUUUAUUUUGAAACAUAACAAUUCCUUGGCGUUGGCUGAGUCUCACUCUCACGCGAUGGUCCACGUGAAGUGCACUAAAAAACCCCACCUCAUGAGAUACACUACGCGCCUCUACGACCGAGGUGAGAAUAUAAAGGAGUUUACCGUGCCCCUCUAAUAGGCUAGCCCACGGAACCCCCCAUCACUGUAGUAGCUAAUCUUUUAUCUACCACCUGAUUUAUAAAAUCUUUUUCUGCAUGAUAUGGUAAUUUAUUGCAACCUAGCCUCUCAAGGCUAAAUACACAGUACAAAUAAUUCUAACACCAAAAUCAGUUUAGCCAGUCAUGCUCAUUUAUUGUCAUAAGCCAUUCAAUUUAAAACCAUAAAUUUACAACACAAGCAGGCAGUCUCCAAUUACUCCAUUUUCAAAACCAGUAUUCGAUUUUUCAGAAUAUUUAUAAAAUCAUUUUAUAAAAUCACAAUUUCUCUUAAAACAUAGCAAUUUACCAUUUAAACCCAUUUUUCAUAAAAUCACACAAUUGUAUAAAACUACUCUAGAUAAAUAAGACGGUAACAAGUUUACUCACAGUUUUCGAAAACUAAAUUCGGGUACUCCAACUAUUACUCCACGGGUGCGAUUUCUUUGCCCUUGCUAGAGAAUUCGUCACCUUGACAAAUUGCACAAUUAAGAGGUUUACUACUUUGGUACUAAACUAAAAUAAACUAAUUUAUAUUACUAAUGCAUGAUAUGAAGUGCAAAAUGUCUAAAUUUUACCUAAACGCGAUGUUAGCCUAUUUCGGUCUUUUACCCGAUAAAUAGAUAUACGCGUCCGUUUAAACUCCAAAUUAAUUUUUUUCAGUUUCUAUACCUCAAUUGCACCCAAAUUGACUUAAUGUUCCUCAAUGUGGUGCAAAUUAUCAGUCAUGAUAGCAAAUUACGAAAAUACCCCUAGUGGGUAAAAAUUCAUAUUUUUGCUUCGAAAAUUCCCAUUAUUUUUCUAGGCUCAUAAUUCAUCAUUAUUCAUCAUAAUUCCUCAAAUAAACAUCAAGAUCAGUAGCCAAUAUUCCUCUAGAAAAUUCGGCCAAUAAUGGUAAUGGGGGAAAAUGAAUUCUUUUCUUGUUGUUUUGUUUCUAAAUAUGCUAAACUAACUAAAAACACUAACAUAACUUAAAAUCAAAUCAAUCUAACUUCAUUCUCUCUCCAUACCCAUUUGGGCAGCCAUGAAUUCACCAUGAAAACAUGAAAUCUAACCAUGGAAAAUAAGGAGAAAAGCAUGGGAAAGGUAGAUCACAAGUCAAAAUCAAGAAAUUUUACCUUUGAUUGCUUGAUUCCUUGAAAUCCACCAAUUUUCCUUUAAUUUUCCCACCUAGGUUUCUUGUUUUUUCCUUUCCUCCUUUUGUUCUUCCUUUUUCUUUGUUUGGCCGGCCAUGUAAAAGAAAAUUGGCUGAUUUUUUAUGCUUAUUUUAAAGCUAAAUAAAUAAUGAAUAUAAACUUGACACAUGUCACCUUAUUAUUGGUCCAUGUGUCAUUUCUUAACUAUUAAGCUUUCUCUCUCCACCACACAUUAUUCAAGGGUCAAAAAUGAUGACGGGUGAAGACCUUGUGCUGGAAAAAUGCUCUGGAGGUGCAAAAUUACCAUUUUACCUCUGGGGUGGCAAAAUUACAUUUUUGCCCCAAAAACUGAAAAAUUGCCCAUAGACAUAUUUUUCAUCCCUUAUACUCAUACCAUUCUCCAAUUUGUCAAAUGUGAUCUAAAUUCUCUCAAAAUCUCAAAUUUUGUCCGUGGGUGAAAAAAUUACGAUUUUACCCUUACACUCCAAAAAUCACCGGAAUUAAACUUUUUCACUGCCAAACCCUCAAAUUAUACUCCAAUACUCAAAUCAUACUCCAAUAAGUUAAAUGGGGCCAAAAAAAAUCUUUUCUCAAAAUUCUCAUUUUGUCCCCAAGUGGCAAAUGACCAUUUUGCCCCUAGAUAGUGAAAAUUUCGAUUUGACUCCAAAUUGAUCCUCGAACUCCGAAUUACCAUUUUGAGUCAUCCCUGAACUGUGAAACUCUUAAUUUCACCUCAAAAUUCCUAUUUGAACUAGUUCGAGGCUUAAUCGACUUAAUGGUACCAUUAGGGGCAAUAUCGUCUUUUAACGAUUCCUCGAACUUCCUAAACAUGCAAACAUUCUAUUGAGCAUGUAAAUGACGUCGUAAUUAUUUUAUAGAGUAGGGUUUGACAACACUACCCCCCUUAAAAUAAAAUUUUGUCCUCAAAAUUUCACUUAUCAAACUCAAAGAAAAGGUGGGGUAUUUUCUUCCAUUAUUUCCAUGUACUUCCUGUUUAUCUCACAGGUAUGAAAUAUCAAUCUUCUUAAUCAUAUUAAUCCAUCUCGUACGGCUUAACCAUGCUAUAGAUCACAUUUCCUUGAUAUUAUCUCCUUGACUAUUUCUCAGAGUCUUUUAUGCUCACAUAGUUCAAUUUUUGAUAAAAUUUCUUAUCAUGGUACUACCUACAUCACUCAUCAUAUAUUAAGUUUGAAUCUUAAUUCACUAAAAAUCAUUCUUCAUUUUAGUUGAUCACAAUAUCAACCCCACAUAUGUGUAUAUGCCUUAUAAUCCCAUUUAUGCUUCCAAGAUCUACCUUGAUUUGAUCAUUGAAUAUGAUGCAAUAUCAUAAUUUCUCAGAGUCAUCCUUUUGUCCUUAAUCAUCUUUCAUGCCUCUAUAUUACCUUGUAUCUUUCUUGCAUUACGAUAUUGAUUUGUCACUUAAGACUCAAACUCAUUUGAAUCAUGUAUACCUCAAGCAUUUUCGAAUUCCAAUUUCCAUAAUGUAUUAGGAAAAUUUCAUUAUCUAACUUCAUUUUCAAGGUUAACUUCUAUCAUCCUUUGUUCUACUCUUUCAUAUAAAUAUAACAUCAUUCUUCCUUAACCAAUUUACAAAUUGUACCUGAAAUUGUAAAACUUGAAACUAGAUUCUCCUCAAGUAUUUUUCAAUAUUAAUAUGAAUAUCACUUUCAGCUUACAGCUUCCUUUUUAUAAUCACAUAACUUAGUGCUUGCUUUCACGAAAUCCGUAGCAAAACUCUUCUUGAGUAUUUCAUUGGGAAUAUCUAUCUUAGACUUAUGUCUCACAGCAUACGAUCACUUAACUUGUGACUUAGCCGUUAGGCUCCUCAACAAGUUUUAAAAUCACACAUCUUAUACUCAUCUCGUAUAAUGUAUAAUUCUUCCUCAAAGGUAUUUAAAUAUUCUUGAAACACCUAAUCACUUAUUUGCUCUUUCAUACUCCAAGUAUAUCAUUUCCAUAAAGGUAUACCCAACUACUCAUAUUUCAAUUUAUCUCCAAGAGUUUCUAGCAUGUCACCUAGUUUACUUGUGUUGUUACUAAUCCUUUCCUUUCAACAAAGUUAAGACAAGAUCAGUAUAUUCUCAUAACAAUAUUCUAUAUCAACUCAUUUGCUAUAUCAUUAUUGAAAUCUUUAUUUACAUUUUUCCUCACUUGGUAUUGACAUCUCUUAUCAGUAUCUCAUACAUUCAUCUAACCUUUCGCUCGCUUCCUCAUUAGUCUUUAACAAGACUUAAUCUCUUAUCUUCCUUAUUUCUUAAGAUUUGACUUCAGUCAUCAUAUUAUUCAUCUUAACACUCCCCAUGUUAAUUUAUUUUUAUGUAACCAUAUCAAAAACUCUCUAACUUUUCUUUCUUUUACAUGCCAAUAUACAAGGCAAUAAAGAAACUUUACAAUUUCACUCAUCAUCUUUAUCUUAAUACCUCCCCAAUGCACUUAAGAUUCCAAACAACAAAGCUUAGCAUGAAAAUCAAUGACCAUUCCUCAACUCGUAAGUUUCAUCUUCAUGCCACUCUCAAUUUGCUCAUGCUUGCUAGCCAUUAGGGGUUCUUAACGCGACAGCGUUUGAGAGUCAGUACUGUAGCGUUGCAACUAUUUGAUUUCACUUUAUCCCAACAACUCUUCUACCUUUAAAGCUACUACCUCAAUUAUUCACAAUCGUGUGGCUUCUCUCUGAGUCUAUACCACAAUUAGCAAUACUAACUUUCUAUCACAAGUAUGUGAUCAGAACAUUGAUUUAAUGUCUUUAUUUUGCCACUAACAUUCAUAUAUCUUUCAUUAGGAGCUUUCGUUUUAAGAUCUCUCCAACACUGGCUCGUGGCACGAGUGGCAUCUUAAACCCGAACAACAGCCCUACUUAUGACCUUUGCAUGACAGUAAUAAGGAAAUUGGUUACUAGGAUCAGGAGUUCCUAUAGAUCCCAUAAGAUCUAUAAGAAAAAACAAAACAAGUUUAAACAACUCUAAAUUCUAUAUGCAGAUGUACGCAUUAUAUUCUACCUAACCUGAUUUAACUUGACUAACUUAACUUAACUUAACUUGGGUCACGCAGUGUCAGUGUGGAUUUCUUAUAACAACUUUAAAACCAAAAACUUUAAAAUUCAAAGCUUUAAAAUCAAAAUCUCUGAUCUUUAAACCAUGCUCUGAUACCACUUUAAUUGUCACGAUCCGGAACUCCCAUCGAAUCCGUGACAACCGUCGCGACGUCCCGAUAGGCACUCAUUACCCCAAAUGCCGAUCGGAACCCCGCAAGGCUUAGCAUCAGCUUUCGCAUCGCCCCGGUGAGCGACAGUUAUUAAAUCUUGCAUUUUAAGAAAUCAUAAGUCGUUUCCAAAUCAAAACAAUAAAAUAUUAUUUUCUGGCUCACAGGGGUAUUUUCGUCAUUUUUCUUCGAUAAUACCGAAACUCCCCAAAAACAUGGUGUAAAAGGUAAAUAUGUUCAUACAUAUUUUAAAUCAGAUAACUAAAGUAUAAAAAUUCUUUUACAAUGACACGUGGGCCCCCAACUAACCAAGAAGAUGCGAGUCUGUGAACCUAUAAUUUUGACAAUGCAAGGCUAACUGAAGUCCUUGAUGCAAUAGGCUAUCUACCGGCUAUCCCGAACUUGAAAUGUGGGGAAUUGAGGGUGGUGAGAUUAUAAAAUCCUAGUGAGUAAACAAAGACCAUCUAAAUAAUCUAAAGGCGAGUAAAUGGAGACAAUUAAAAAUAAUUAACUUCAGCAAAUUUUUCACAUCACAAAUAUUCAUUUCAACCAAAUAAUCAAUAUGGCUCGUGAAUUACUCAAAACUUGGCUCAUGCCAAAUCUUGUACUCGGGGACACCUAGACCAAGGGUAUCCAACUGAGUUCGUCAAGGCUGUUAAAAAUUCAUAUUUCGCAUAAAUCAUAUUUUUAUUUUGAAACAUAGUCAUUCCUUGGCGUUGGCUGAGUUUCACUCUCACGCGGUGGUCCACGUGAAGUGCACUCAAAAAGCCCACCUCAGGAGAUACCCUACGCGCCUCUACGAUUGAGGUGAGAAUACAAAAAAGUUUAUCGUGCCCCUCUAAUAGGCUAGCCCACGGAACCCCCCACCACUGCAGUAGCUAAUCUUUUAUCUACCACUUGAUUUAUAAAAUCUUUUUCUACAUGACAUGACAAUUUAUCGCAACCUAGCCUCUCAAGGCUAAAAACACAAUACAAAUAAUUCUAACACCAAAAUCAGUUUAGCCAUUCAUGCUCAUUUAUUGUCAUAAGCCAUUCAAUUUAAAACCAUAAAUUUAUAACACAAGCAUGCAGUCUCCAAUUACUCUAUUUUCAAAACCAGUAUUCGAUUUUCCAGAAUAUUUAUAAAAUCAUUUUAUAAAAUCACAAUUUCUCUUAAAACAUAGCAAUUUAUCAUUUAAACCCAUUUUCCAUAAAAUCACACAAUUGUAUAAAACUACUCUAGAUAAAUAAGACGAUAACAAGUUUACUCACAGUUUUCGAAAACUAAAUUCAGGUACUCCAACUAUUACUCCUCGGGUGCGAUUUCUUUGCCCUUGCUAGAGGAUUCGUCACCUUGACAAAUUGCACAAUUAAGAGGUUUACUACUUUGGUACUAAACCAAAAUAAACUAAUUUAUACUACUAAUGCAUGAUAUGAAGUGCAAAAUGUCUAAAUUUUGCCUAAACGAGAUGUUAGCCUAUUUCGGUCUUUUACCCGAUAAAUCGAUAUACGCGUCUGUUUAAACUCCAAAUUAAUUUUUUUCAAUUUCUAUACCUCAAUUGCACCCAAAUUGACUUAAUGUUCCUCAGUGUGGUGCAAAUUAUCAGUCCCGAUAGCAAAUUACGAAAAUACCCCUAAUGGGUAAAAAUUCAUAUUUUUUCUCCGAAAAUUCUCAUUAUUUUUCUAGGCUCAUAAUUCAUCAUUAUUCAUCAUAAUUCCUCAAAUAAACAUCAAGAUCAGAAGCCAAUAUUCCCCUAGAAAAUUCGGCCAAUAAUGGUAAUGGAGGAAAAUGAAUCUUUUCUUGUUGUUUUGUUUCUAAAUAUGCUAAACUAACUAAAAACACUAACAUAACUUAAAAUCAAAUUAAUCUAACUUCAUUCUCUCUCCAUACCUAUUUGGGCAGCCAUGAAUUCACCAUGAAAACACGAAAUCUAACCAUGGAACACAAGGAGAAAAGCAUGGGAAAGGUAGAUCACAAGUCAAAAUCAAGAAAUUUUACCUUUGAUUGCUUGAUUCCUUGGAAUCCACAAAUUUUCC